UCUGGUUGGGUGGGAGCACUUUAGGCAAGCCCUUUGGCACCUUCUUUUUGUCUUUUUAUUUUAAAGUAGGGAAUAGAUCCAAGUGAAGGCUAUUGUGAAGAGUAAGUCAUCCAUGGCUGUAACACGCCAGCAUCGCCAGAUGGGGUGCGGGAACGUAGGCAAUUUACAAAACCUUUGCAGCAGCUGCUGUGACCACAAGGGAUGAUACUGGCUUGAUUUAGCAUUUUUAAACUUAAGUAUUCACCUCAUGCUAAUGUAUGUAGCUGUGUUCUCUCAUUUGAGGUUGUUCAUUUGGAAAUACAGAAGGAUGAGGCAUUAUUUCUUUAAAUAAAAUAUUCUCUUUCAUUACAUCUGUGCCUCAGUGAUCCCUAAAGCAGAAAUUCAGUUCAAACAUUAAAUUCAAUAAUCAUAUAUUAAACAGUUACUCUGCAAGGCACUACGGAAACUGAAGAUGAAACAGACCAAGGAUCCCCGCCUCGAGGGGUUUAUAAAUUAGGAAGAAGAUGAAGGAAGUAUGCAAACAAUCAUGGCAAAAGAGAAAACACAUGAAAUAACUCAAGAGUGGCGGAGAGAGGAUUCCAGACAGAUAUUUGAGCGGAACAAAGAGAGCCAACAGGAUGAAGGCAUUCCCUGGCUGGUUGGACAAGCAACUGAAGAACAGGAACAGAAGUGAAUGAAAAGAGAAAAUGCUGUGUUUCUGUUUUCUCUUGGUUAGAAUGCUGUGAGUCAGGACCUCAGCUGCUGGGUGUCCUGGGACUGCCUUCGUUGGUGAACGAGCUAAAGGAACCGUAGAUUGUUUUUACUCCUGCCACAUGGUGGAGCUACUUCAGCUUUAAUGGAAAGAACCAGCCAUUGUUAGUAUGGAGGCAGAUACUUGAAGAGCACUGUGUAGCUAUUGCACAGAGGCAGGUAGCUGAGCCUUUGAGCGGGGGAAUGAUGGUGAGCAAAGAGCAAAGGAAAUUGACUGCCUCUUCAUUUCACAACACAUCACAUGGAUCCUCUACACUGGUGGACCAGGAAAUCGCAACUACUUUAGACACCUUGGUAAGACACAUAGAGGCAAGAGGUUGUGAAAUAAAUCCCAGAAAAAUUUAGAAGUUUGCUCCUUCAGGAACUUUCUUGGGGUUUCAUGGCCUGGGGAAAGUUGAGAUAUCUCUUUCAAGGUGAAGUUCAAUUGCUAUAUCUGGUCCCUCCUACCGUAAAAAAGAGUCCGAAUUCCUGGUGUGCCUCAUUGGAUUUUGGAGGCAAUGUAUCUUAUUUGGGUGUGUUCUUAUAGUCUAAACCUAUUUGCUGAGUGAGUAAUCUGAAAGGCUUCCAGUUUUGAAUAAGGCCUGGAGAAAGACAAGCCUUUGUGAGAGGGUGGCAAGCUUCCCUGCCACUUUGGUCAUAUGACACAUCUGAUUCAGUGGUGCUUAAAGUGCCUGU